rnacentral:rRNA from 1 species
ACGGACGCUGGCGGCGUGCUUAACACAUGCCAGUCGAACGGUGAAGCGCCUUCCUUUUUGGUGGGUGUGGAUGAGUGGCGAACGGGUGAGUAACACGUGAGUAACCUGCCCCCUUCUUCUGGAUAACCGCAUGAAAGUGUGGCUAAUACGGGAUAUUCUGGGUCUGUCGCAUGAUGGGUCUGGGAAAGAUAUUGUUUCGGUGGGGGAUGGGCUCGCGGCCUAUCAGCUUGUUGGUGGGGUGAUGGCCUACCAAGGCGGUGACGGGUAGCCGGCCUGAGAGGGUGGACGGUCACACUGGGACUGAGACACGGCCCAGACUCCUACGGGAGGCAGCAGUGGGGAAUAUUGCACAAUGGGCGCAAGCCUGAUGCAGCGACGCCGCGUGAGGGAUGGAGGCCUUCGGGUUGUGAACCUCUUUCGCCAGUGAAGCAGGCCUGCCUCGUUUGUGGGUGGGUUGACGGUAGCUGGAUAAGAAGCGCCGGCUAACUACGUG